CGGGAGACACACGGCGGGUGCUAACGUCCGUCGUGGAGAGGGAAACAACCCAGACCGCCAGCUAAGGUCCCAAAGUAUAGCUAAGUGGGAAACGAUGUGGGAAGGCUCAGACAGCCAGGAUGUUGGCUUAGAAGCAGCCAUCAUUUAAAGAAAGCGUAAUAGCUCACUGGUCGAGUCGGCCUGCGCGGAAGAUGUAACGGGGCUAAGCUAUACACCGAAGCUGCGGCUACGUACCUUAGGGUAUGUGGGGUAGGGGAGCGUUCUGUAAGCCGUUGAAGGUGGUCUGUAAGGGCUGCUGGAGGUAUCAGAAGUGCGAAUGCUGACAUGAGUAACGAUAAAGGGAGUGAAAAACUCCCUCGCCGGAAGACCAAGGGUUCCUGUCCAACGUUAAUCGGGGCAGGGUAAGUCGACUCCUAAGGCGAGGCCGAAAGGCGUAGUCGAUGGGAAACGGGUUAAUAUUCCCGUACUUCUUACAAUUGCGAUGGGGGGACGGAGAAGGCUAGGUGGGCCUGGCGACGGUUGUCCAGGUUCAAGUAUGUAGGCGGAAAGUUUAGGUAAAUCCGGACUUUCAUUAACGCUGAGAUACGAUGUCGAGCUACUACGGUAGUGAAGUCAUUGAUGCCAUGCUUCCAGGAAAAGCCUCUAAGCUUCAGAUUGUAAGGAAUCGUACCCCAAACCGACACAGGUGGUCGGGUAGAGAAUACCAAGGCGCUUGAGAGAACUCGGGUGAAGGAACUAGGCAAAAUGGUACCGUAACUUCGGGAGAAGGUACGCUCUUAUCAGUGAAGUCCCUUGCGGAUGGAGCAGACGAGAGUCGCAGAUACCAGGUGGCUGCAACUGUUUAUUAAAAACACAGCACUGUGCAAAAUCGUAAGAUGACGUAUACGGUGUGACGCCUGCCCGGUGCCGGAAGGUUAAUUGAUGGGGUUAGACUUCGGUCGAAGCUCUUGAUCGAAGCCCCGGUAAACGGCGGCCGUAACUAUAACGGUCCUAAGGUAGCGAAAUUCCUUGUCGGGUAAGUUCCGACCUGCACGAAUGGCGUAAUGAUGGCCACGCUGUCUCCACCCGAGACUCAGUGAAAUUGAAAUCGCUGUGAAGAUGCAGUGUACCCGCGGCUAGACGGAAAGACCCCGUGAACCUUUACUACAGCUUGGCACUGAACAUUGAACCUACAUGUGUAGGAUAGGUGGGAGACUAUGAAAUUGCGUCGCUAGAUGUGAUGGAGUCGUCCUUGAAAUACCACCCUUGUAGUUUUGAUGUUCUAACGUUGGUCCCUGAAUCGGGAUUACGGACAGUGCCUGGUGGGUAGUUUGACUGGGGCGGUCUCCUCCCAAAGAGUAACGGAGGAGCACGAAGGUGGGCUAAACACGGUUGGACAUCGUGUGGUUAGUGCAAUGGCAUAAGCCCGCUUGACUGCGAGAAUGACAAUUCGAGCAGGUGCGAAAGCAGGUCAUAGUGAUCCGGUGGUUCUGAAUGGAAGGGCCAUCGCUCAACGGAUAAAAGGUACUCCGGGGAUAACAGGCUGAUACCGCCCAAGAGUUCAUAUCGACGGCGGUGUUUGGCACCUCGAUGUCGGCUCAUCACAUCCUGGGGCUGAAGUCGGUCCCAAGGGUAUGGCUGUUCGCCAUUUAAAGUGGUACGCGAGCUGGGUUUAGAACGUCGUGAGACAGUUCGGUCCCUAUCUGCCGUGGGCGUUGGAAAAUUGAAAGGGGCUGCUCCUAGUACGAGAGGACCGGAGUGGACGAACCUCUGGUGUUCGGGUUGUCAUGCCAAUGGCAUUGCCCGGUAGCUAAGUUCGGAAUCGAUAACCGCUGAAAGCAUCUAAGCGGGAAGCGAGCCUUGAGAUGAGUUUUCCCUGGCACUAUAAGUGUCCUAAAGGGUUGU
rnacentral:rRNA from 1 species